AACACAUGCAAGUCGAACGGCAGCAUGUUUAUCUUCGGAAUAAAUGAUGGCGAGUGGCGGACGGGUGAGUAACACGUAGGAAUCUGCCUUAAAGUGGGGGAUAGCCUGGGGAAACCUAGGGUAAUACCGCAUAAUGCUAAGGAGAAAGCUGGGGACCUUCGGGCCUGGUGCUUUAAGAUGAGCCUGCGUCAGAUUAGCUAGUUGGCGGGGUAAAGGCCUACCAAGGCGAUGAUCUGUAGCUGAUUUGAGAGGAUGAUCAGCCACACUGGGACUGAGACGCGGCCCAGACUCCUACGGGAGGCAGCAGUGGGGAAUUUUGGACAAUGGGCGAAAGCCUGAUCCAGCAAUACCGCGUGUGUGAUGAAGGCCUUCGGGUUGUAAAGCACUUUCAGUUGUGAAGAAAUGUACAUGGUUAAUACCCAUGUAAGCUGACGUUAACAACAGAAGAAGCACCGGCUAACUCUGUG
rnacentral:rRNA from 1 species